GAUGAACGCUGGCGGCGUGCCUAAUACAUGCAAGUCGAGCGAACGGACGAGAAGCUUGCUUCUCUGAUGUUAGCGGCGGACGGGUGAGUAACACGUGGAUAACCUACCUAUAAGACUGGGAUAACUUCGGGAAACCGGAGCUAAUACCGGAUAAUAUUUUGAACCGCAUGGUUCAAAAGUGAAAGACGGUCUUGCUGUCACUUAUAGAUGGAUCCGCGCUGCAUUAGCUAGUUGGUAAGGUAACGGCUUACCAAGGCAACGAUGCAUAGCCGACCUGAGAGGUGGACGGCCCACACGGAAAGUGAGCCACGGUCAAGACUCAGAAGGGAGGCAGAAGUAGGAAAUUUUCAGAAAGGGGAGAAAGACGGAGGGAGAAAGGCAGCGGGAGUGAGGAAGUUUUGCGUAUCUAAAAACUUUGUUAUGAGGGAAAAAAAUAUGGGAAAGAAACGGGGAAAAUCUGGAGGGACCAUAAUAAAAAACACAGGGAAAACAAGGGG
rnacentral:rRNA from 1 species